rnacentral:rRNA from 1 species
AGAGUUUGAUCAUGGCUCAGAGUGAACGCUGGCGGUGUGCUUAACACAUGCAAGUCGAACGAGAACGGUACUAGCUUGCUAGUAUGUCAGCUAAGUGGCGGACGGGUGAGUAAUGUAUAGUUAAUCUGCCCUUCAGAGAGGGAUAACUACUGGAAACGGUAGCUAAUACCUCAUAUACCUUCUAGUGUAAUGCUAGAUGGGAAAUGUCUUUUCGCUGAAGGAUGAGACUAUAUGGUAUCAGGUAGUUGGUGGGGUAAGAGCCUACCAAGCCUAUGACGCCUAGCUGGUCUGAGAGGAUGAUCAGCCACACUGGAACUGAGACACGGUCCAGACUCCUACGGGAGGCAGCAGUGGGGAAUAUUGCACAAUGGAGGAAACUCUGAUGCAGCAACACCGCGUGGAGGAUGACACAUUUCGGUGCGUAAACUCCUUUUAUAUGGGAAGAUAAUGACGG